rnacentral:rRNA from 1 species
AUUGAACGCUGGCGGCAGGCCUAACACAUGCAAGUCGAGCGGAUGAAGGGAGCUUGCUCCUGGAUUCAGCGGCGGACGGGUGAGUAAUGCCUAGGAAUCUGCCUAGUAGUGGGGGAUAACGUCCGGAAACGGGCGCUAAUACCGCAUACGUCCUGAGGGAGAAAGUGGGGGAUCUUCGGACCUCACGCUAUCAGAUGAGCCUAGGUCGGAUUAGCUAGUUGGUGGGGUAAAGGCCUACCAAGGCGACGAUCCGUAACUGGUCUGAGAGGAUGAUCAGUCACACUGGAACUGAGACACGGUCCAGACUCCUACGGGAGGCAGCAGUGGGGAAUAUUGGACAAUGGGCGAAAGCCUGAUCCAGACAUGCCGCGUGUGUGAAGAAGGUCUUCGGAUUGUAAAGCACUUUAAGUUGGGAGGAAGGGCAGUAAGUUAAUACCUUGCUGUUUUGACGUUACCAACAGAAUAAGCACCGGCUAACUUCGUG